AACGAACGCUGGCGGCAUGCCUAACACAUGCAAGUCGAACGAGACCUUCGGGUCUAGUGGCGCACGGGUGCGUAACGCGUGGGAACCUGCCCUUAGGUUCGGAAUAACUCCCCGAAAGGGGUGCUAAUACCGGAUAAUGUCUUCGGACCAAAGAUUUAUCGCCUUUGGAUGGGCCCGCGUUGGAUUAGCUAGUUGGUAGGGUAAAAGCCUACCAAGGCGACGAUACAUAGCUGGUCUGAGAGGAUGAUCAGCCACACUGGGACUGAGACACGGCCCAGACUCCUACGGGAGGCAGCAGUGGGGAAUAUUGGACAAUGGGCGAGAGCCUGAUCCAGCAAUGCCGCGUGAGUGAUGAAGGCCUUAGGGUUGUAAAGCUCUUUUACCCGGGAUGAUAAUGACAGUACCGGGAGAAUAAGCGCCGGCUAACUCCGUG
rnacentral:rRNA from 1 species